rnacentral:lncRNA from 1 species
CUGGCAAAUGCCAUCCAGCAGCAAAACGUGGUCCUGCAAAGGGAACAUUUGUGACCCUGAAGGCUGCCUCACCUUGUGGUGCCUCUCCUGGAGCAGCUGCUUCUUCUCCCCGAAGCAUGUGACUGCAGCCAUGGGUGCUUGAGUUCUCCUUAUGCCUCACCUGUGCGUGUAAGCCAUAUUAAGUACUCUUACUUGUCUUUCUGAAGAGAUCUGAAGUCCUUGAGCAAAGGAAUGAAGAAAUGGUGGUAAAUGAAGAAGCAGGUAAACUCACAUGCUCAAGAGCAACGCAUCAAUUCUGUUUUGGUCAAGUUAAAAGCAGGACAGCUCCAUUUACCAUCAGCAGACAUUUGGAAGCCAAUGAUUGAAUGCUGACUUCAGCCAGACUGUGGGAGAAACACUGGCUUGGCACUAAUAUCUUAUGCUAAAAAAGUUAUGUUGUUACUGUUCAUUGUCUCCUCAGUAUUUUUCUAUGCUUUAAAACAGCAUUUUGGGGUUUGGGUGGUUUUUUUGGACAAGUGU